CCUACGGGUGGCAGCAGUGAGGAAUAUUGGUCAAUGGACGAGAGUCUGAACCAGCCAAGUAGCGUGAAGGAUGACUGCCCUAUGGGUUGUAAACUUCUUUUAUAAAGGAAUAAAACGAGGCACGUGUGCCUUUUUGCAUGUACUUUAUGAAUAAGGAUCGGCUAACUCCGUGCCAGCAGCCGCGGUAAUACGGAGGAUCCGAGCGUUAUCCGGAUUUAUUGGGUUUAAAGGGAGCGUAGAUGGGUUGUUAAGUCAGUUGUGAAAGUGUGCGGCUCAACCGUAAAAUUGCAAUUGAUACUGGCAGUCGUGAGUACAGUUGAGGUAGGCGGAAUUCGUGGUGUAGCGGUGAAAUGCUUAGAUAUCACGAAGAACCCCGAUUGCGAAGGCAGCUUACUAAACUGUGACUGACAUUGAUGCUCGAAAGUGUGGGUAUCAAACAGGAUUAGAUACCCCUGUAGUC
rnacentral:rRNA from 1 species